rnacentral:rRNA from 1 species
GACGUAGGGGGCCAGCGUUGCUCGGAAUUACUGGGUGUAAAGGGUCCGUAGGCGGUGUGGCAAGUCGGGAGUGAAAUCUCUGGGCUCAACCCAGAGUCUGCUUCCGAAACUGCUGUGCUUGAGUGUGGGAGAGGCGCGUGGAAUUGCAGGUGUAGCGGUGAAAUGCGUAGAUAUCUGCAGGAACACCCGUGGCGAAAGCGGCGCGCUGGACCACUACUGACGCUGAGGAACGAAAGCUAGGGGAGCAAACAGG